rnacentral:lncRNA from 1 species
AUUUAUCUGACAUGAUAGAUUUAUAUAUCUGUAUUUGUGUUUUCCUCCAGAUAAUUUUGAAGAAGAGCCGUGGCUAGAGCCAAGAAGUAUUCUUUCAUCCUCUGGCUGAAUUUAAUGCAGUGUAUUAAAUUGUCAAGUAACUAUAAGUAACAAUGCUCAAGAAUACCAGUCAUAGGCUUCUGUUUUAUCGUUCCUGUUUGGAAUGCUGUUCUAAGCCAGUAAGUCCAGAUCCCUUAGAGGGAUAGAAAAAUGAUACAAAACUUUAUAUUUAUAUUCUGUAGUCUUUUUAUAGAAUGUAAACUAUAUGUUCGGAAUGCCUGCAUUAUUUGCUAUUGCUUAUAGAGUAAAUUUGCUUUGCUUAACAGUAUGGGCUAUGCUAUAUCAUCACCAUCAGGAAGAUAAUUCU